GUAGGUAUCCAACAUCCAGGCGCAUUGUCAUCGACACUGCUGGGAAAAGGGAGAAGCAGGCAACCCACAUCCUCUGCUCCCUGUCCUCCUAGACCUUGGGAAUUGCUCUGGAAAUCAGGGAAACACAGAGAGCAGAAAAACAGUCUGUCUACCUUUAAAAGCUGGAGACAGGUGAAGAGCUUUCUGAUACAGAGUGAGAAAUAGACACUUAGUAAUUUGGAUUUGAGGUGAACAAGCAACUGUCUCUUGGCGAGAACUUGUGUGGUUCUGGUUUGGAGAGAUCUGCUAUGGAAAUGCAUGGGCCAGCCCCAGGAGAGCACCGCUGACGGCGAGGGCACUGCUCCCUUCCAGGGGGCUCCAGCUGGACCAGACUUGGGACUUGUGGCCUUUUUGGUGUAAAGGUUGUUAAAGUCUCUCUACUAGAGUUUGCAGUCCUCGAAAUCGGAAACAGGACUUAUCUCUUCAGCCUCUUGUAGAAUA